ACGGGUGAGUAACACGUAGGCAACCUGCCCUCAAGGUUGGGACAACUACCGGAAACGGUAGCUAAUACCGAAUAGUUGUUUUCUUCGCCUGAAGGAAACUGGAAAGACGGAGCAAUCUGUCACUUGGGGAUGGGCCUGCGGCGCAUUAGCUAGUUGGUGGGGUAACGGCUCACCAAGGCGACGAUGCGUAGCCGACCUGAGAGGGUGAUCGGCCACACUGGGACUGAGACACGGCCCAGACUCCUACGGGAGGCAGCAGUAGGGAAUCUUCCGCAAUGGGCGAAAGCCUGACGGAGCAAUGCCGCGUGAGUGAUGAAGGUUUUCGGAUCGUAAAGCUCUGUUGCCAGGGAAGAACGCUUGGGAGAGUAACUGCUCUCAAGGUGACGGUACCUGAGAAGAAAGCCCCGGCUAACUACGUGCCAGCAGCCGCGGUAAUACGUAGGGGGCAAGCGUUGUCCGGAAUUAUUGGGCGUAAAGCGCGCGCAGGCGGUCAUUUAAGUCUGGUGUUUAAUCCCGGGGCUCAACCCCGGAUCGCACUGGAAACUGGGUGACUUGAGUGCAGAAGAGGAGAGUGGA
rnacentral:rRNA from 1 species